rnacentral:rRNA from 1 species
UACGUAGGGUGCGAGCGUUAAUCGGAAUUACUGGGCGUAAAGCGUGCGCAGGCGGUUUUUUAAGACAGGCGUGAAAUCCCCGGGCUCAACCUGGGAACUGCGCUUGUGACUGGAAGGCUAGAGUACGGCAGAGGGGGGUGGAAUUCCACGUGUAGCAGUGAAAUGCGUAGAGAUGUGGAGGAACACCAAUGGCGAAGGCAGCCCCCUGGGUCGAUACUGACGCUCAUGCACGAAAGCGUGGGUAGCAAACAGG